CCUACGGGUGGCUGCAGUGGGGAAUAUUGCACAAUGGGCGCAAGCCUGAUGCAGCCAUGCCGCGUGUGUGAAGAAGGCCUUCGGGUUGUAAAGCACUUUCAGCGGGGAGGAAGGCGGUGAGGUUAAUAACCUCAUCGAUUGACGUUACCCGCAGAAGAAGCACCGGCUAACUCCGUGCCAGCAGCCGCGGUAAUACGGAGGGUGCAAGCGUUAAUCGGAAUUACUGGGCGUAAAGCGCACGCAGGCGGUCUGUCAAGUCGGAUGUGAAAUCCCCGGGCUCAACCUGGGAACUGCAUUCGAAACUGGCAGGCUAGAGUCUUGUAGAGGGGGGUAGAAUUCCAGGUGUAGCGGUGAAAUGCGUAGAGAUCUGGAGGAAUACCGGUGGCGAAGGCGGCCCCCUGGACAAAGACUGACACUCAGGUGCGAAAGCGUGGGGAGCAAACAGGAUUAGAUACCCGUGUAGUC
rnacentral:rRNA from 1 species